AUGGUAGGAUAGAGGCCUACCAUGGUGGUAACGGGUAACGGGGUGUUAGGGCACGACACCGGAGAGGGAGCCUGAGAAACGGCUACCACAUCCAAGGAAGGCAGCAGGCGCGCAAAUUACCCAAUCCCGACACGGGGAGGUAGUGACAAUAAAUAACAAUACGGGGUUCUUUGAAUCUUGUGAUUGGAAUGAGUACAAUUUAAAUCUCUUAACGAGGAACAAUUGGAGGGCAAGUCUGGUGCCAGCAGCCGCGGUAAUUCCAGCUCCAAUAGCGUAUAUUAAAGUUGUUGCAGUUAAAAAGCUCGUAGUUGAAUUUCGGGAUCAAUACGUCGGUCGUGCUUUCGGGUACGUACUGGCGUCAUUGGUUUCUCCUUUCUGACGAACCAUGAUGUCAUUAAUUUGGUGUUAUGGGGAGUUAGGACUGUUACUUUGAAAAAAUUAGAGUGUUUAAAGCAGGCAUUAGCUUGAAUACAUUAGCAUGGAAUAAUGAAAUAGGACGUUCGAUCCUAUUUUGUUGGUUUCUAGGAUCAACGUAAUGAUUAAUAGGGAUAGUUGGGGGCAUUAGUAUUCAAUUGUCAGAGGUGAAAUUCUUGGAUUUAUUGAAGACUAACUACUGCGAAAGCAUUUGCCAAGGAUGUUUUCAUUAAUCAAGAACGAAAGUUAGGGGAUCGAAGACGAUCAGAUACCGUCGUAGUCUUAACCAUAAACUAUGCCGACUAGGGAUCGGAUGAUGUUAAUUUUUUAAUGACUCAUUCGGCGCCUUACGGGAAACCAAAGUGUUUGGG
rnacentral:rRNA from 1 species